rnacentral:rRNA from 1 species
CCUACGGGAGGCAGCAGUGAGGAAUAUUGGUCAAUGGACGAGAGUCUGAACCAGCCAAGUAGCGUGAAGGAUGACUGCCCUAUGGGUUGUAAACUUCUUUUAUAUGGGAAUAAAAUGUUCCACGUGUGGGAUUUUGUAUGUACCAUAUGAAUAAGGAUCGGCUAACUCCGUGCCAGCAGCCGCGGUAAUACGGAGGAUCCGAGCGUUAUCCGGAUUUAUUGGGUUUAAAGGGAGCGUAGGUGGAUUGUUAAGUCAGUUGUGAAAGUUUGCGGCUCAACCGUAAAAUUGCAGUUGAAACUGGCAGUCUUGAGUACAGUAGAGGUGGGCGGAAUGCGUGGUGUAGCGGUGAAAUGCUUAGAUAGCACGAAGAACUCCGAUUGCGAAGGCAGUUCACUGGACUGCAACUGACACUGAGGCUCGAAAGUGUGGGUAUCAAACAGGAUUAGAUACCCGAGUAGUC